rnacentral:rRNA from 1 species
GGGGAAUAUUGCACAAUGGGCGGAAGCCUGAUGCAGCGACGCCGCGUGGGGGAUGACGGCCUUUGGGUUGUAAACCUCUUUCGCUAGGGACGAAGCUUUUGUGACGGUACCUAGAUAAGAAGCACCGGCUAACUACGUGCCAGCAGCCGCGGUAAUACGUAGGGUGCGAGCGUUGUCCGGAAUUACUGGGCGUAAAGAGCUCGUAGGUGGUUUGUCGCGUCGUCUGUGAAAUUCCGGGGCUUAACUUCGGGCGUGCAGGCGAUACGGGCAAUACUUGAGUGCUGUAGGGGAGACUGGAAUUCCUGGUGUAGCGGUGGAAUGCGCAGAUAUCAGGAGGAACACCGAUGGCGAAGGCAGGUCUCUGGGCAGUAACUGACGCUGAGGAGCGAAAGCAUGGGUAGCGAAC